AUGAAAGCAGGACCACAAAACCAGAGGGCUGCAAGGAGCAAUGUAGACCUUCCUCAGAAAACCCUGAAUCUGCACAAAUGGCCACCGAUCCAAUAUCCUAAGAAUGAAGGAGUAAGUUCGGGUACUUUGCAAGCUCCUACCACAGGGACAGCUGUCCCAGCCCCAGUGGAUACUCCACAGAGUGUAACUGAGAAAGACCUCGCAAAGGUUCCUAGGAAAAAGCCACUCCCGCAAGCAAGACCACUGCAGUCGAAACCAGUCAAACCCAGUCGCCCUCCUGUAGUGGACCUAGAGAAGUUCAGGAAGGCCCGAGCACAUGCUUCUCCUAUACCAAAGCCACAGAGAGAUGUGCGGCAUGGUUACUCGAAGCCAGAUCCUGCUUCCUUUGGACCAGUUCUACCUAAAGCUGCUCCAUUUCCUCAUGUCUCAAGUUUAGCACGAGAACAAGAUGAGAUAUACGAUGAUGUAGAACCAGUUGGGCCAGUCAACAAGGGCAAACAGCUCCUAUUAUUCCCCAAUUCCCAGCCCACAGCCUCUUUCCAUUCUGGACAAGGUGGAAGGACUGGUCUGAUCCCUGGCAGAUUUCCUCCAGACUUCGCCACACUGAGUUCGAAGGAGAAAUCCGCGUUUUGACACGGAUGAUGAUCGAUCCCGCUACGACUGAGAAAAAAGGAGGGGGGAAGAAUCUUCCAGUCAAACGAGGAGAAAUUGUGGAUGUCAUUCAGUUUACAAGUAGUGAGCAAAUGCUCUGCCGAAACAGCCGGUGGAAAUGUAAGUUUGAAGUCCAUCCAGUUCUGUAUGUGGCCAUCUGCCAGUGGAAGGAGACAGAGCCCCACAUGA
rnacentral:lncRNA from 1 species